rnacentral:lncRNA from 1 species
AAAAGAAAAGGAACAAAAACACCUAGUUGGGUUGUCUUUCAACAAGCACUAAGUUUAACGUCUUCAGCCAAACGGACGACCCCCAAACUUAAAUGGAGACACCAGGGCACUCAUCAAGAUAUAAAGCUUCAGAAUUUUCGUGCAUUGCAUCCUCCCAAUAAAGCUUCAGUCUUUGUCCAUUCACUUUGAACGUGGAUCCAUCCUUGGGAUUAUGAAUUUCAACUGCACCAUGAGGAAAAACACAUUGUACUAAGAAAGGACCAGACCACCGAGAUUUGAGUUUACCUGGAAAAAGGCAGAGUCUAGAGUUAUAGAGCAACAUUUUCUGACCUGAAAAGAAUUCUUUUCGAACAAUUAACUUAUCAUGAUAGGCCUUUGUUCGAUCCUUGCAUUCACAUAGGCUUCAUUUUGCAGUUCAUCUAGUUCAUUCAACUGAAGCUUUCGUGCUUCUCUAGCCUUGUUUAAAUCAAAAUUCUGCCGUUUGAUAGCCCACAAAGCUCUAUGUUCUAGUUCCACUGGAAGGUGACAAGUUUUCCCCUAAACAAGUCGAUAAGGAGACAUGCCUAUGGGGGUCUUAUUGAUAGGAGCAUAUUUAUGCGACUUAGUUAGCUUGUUUUCUUGUGUUUUCGUAGUUAGUUUGUGUUUAUUAUAGUGAUUUAAGCUAUUUUCGUGUGUUUGUAGGUCCAAAUGACAAAGUUGGCAAGAAAGUGCAUUUUGGAGUAGUUUUUGGCACUAAAUGGAUAACACGUGUAUAGGCCAAGGUGGAUGGACGUUUUUGGAGUUCAAAAGGCUAGGAAUCUGAUAAGAAUAUGAAGAAAUUAAAUUCAAGACAAAGAAGAUAAGGAGUCAGCUCAAAAGAAGAAAUAUUAUCCAAAACCUUAUCCAACCUUAUCUUAUCCAAACUAACCUUAUCUUAUCUUAUCCUAUCCUAAUCUUAUCAUGCCUUAAUUCUAGCUGCAAGGGGACCUAAAUAUCUAUUUCUAGAAGCUAUUUCUAGAAGCAUUCCCUUCUAGAAGUCCUAAUUUCUGCCACAAAACACAUUAUUUCUAGAAACCCUACAAAAGUGGCGCCUAUUCCCUUCUAGAAGGCUUUUGCCUUGCCUUGCAAGCAAUUCUCAUUCCCUCCAAUCCUUGCCGUGCCUUUCCUCACCCAAUUCCCCUUGGAUUCUGAUUUUGUUAGCCUUAUUCCUUAUGGAUUUGGGUUGUGUAAAUCCUUUUCAGAAAUUAAUUGGGCCAAACCUUUUUCUUCAUGGAUUUAAACACUUGUGCCACACCUUAGGGCCCCAAUUCUCUUAAUGUGCUGAUUCAUAACCCUAAUCUGAUUCACCCUAGGGUUUGGUCGAACCUAUAUAUACAUCUUUUCAGCCAAAAUUCGUCACCACCCCUACCAUUCAGAAACACAUCUUGUAGCACCAUUCUACAACCCUUUUCUGCAAUUUUAGAGAAGAAGGAGUCUUGCCGUGCAUUCCAUUGAUGAAAGAGGACCUUGUGCACAAGCCACCUGCAUCCUUGGGAGUUCUAAGAGUUCAUUCUUCCCUCGUUUUAGUUUCAAUGUUUAUUUCAAUUUGCUUUUCAACUGCUGUGAACAUGUGUAACU